GGUGGUUAUUGCAAUGGGGCUCACCUCUUUCCAUCCCGAACAGAGAAGUUAAGCCCAUUCGCGCCGAUGGUACUACUAUUGUGGAAGAGUAGGUCACCGCC
rnacentral:rRNA from 1 species